GUGAACUGAUCUCAGGUCUCUGAAGGGUUGAAAGUAAAAGUGAAACCACAGUCUGGAAACCUCGGGGCGCCUCGCUGGUCUGUCCGACCGGCUCCGCAUUAUGGGAUGGAUUCUACUGCCGACCAGCAGCCUGGAAUAAAUACAUUAAUAGAUCAUAAAUAAUAGCGACGCUGCAAACAUGAAGAAAUUUGAUCAAAUCUGCCGCGCGGCGUGAACGCACUCGUAAAGAUAAAAAAGUAUGAAGCAGUUGGGUUGCCCUCCACCUCUACGCCUGAAGAAGAAGAAGAAGAAGAACGAAGCUAAUGAACUGAAGCAAAAUGUCUCAUAUUGUUGCGAAUGGAGACACAUUUAUAUUUCCUUCUGCUAUUUUAAGGUAUUUGCAAAGCGAUAUUAUAUUAAUUAUAUAUUGAUUUCCUCUCUGCACACGCCUCUGUGGUCGGAGUGACGACACACUUUCAUACUUAGUCAAAUACACUCAAAUCACAACAUCGGGUUCUGUGUUUCACACUU